rnacentral:sRNA from 1 species
UGCUAAUGUAACAUGUUCGCUUUGUGGU